UACGUAGGGGGCAAGCGUUGUCCGGAUUUAUUGGGCGUAAAGCGUGCGUAGACGGUUAUGUAAGUCGGGUGUGAAAGCCCCGGGCUCAACCUGGGAAUUGCAUUCGAGACUGCAUAGCUAGGGUGCGGAAGAGGGAAGCGGAAUUUCCGGUGUAGCGGUGAAAUGCGUAGAUAUCGGAAGGAACACCAGUGGCGAAAGCGGCUUCCUGGUCCAGCACCGACGUUCAGGCACGAAAGCGUGGGGAGCAAACAGG
rnacentral:rRNA from 1 species